GACGAACGCUGGCGGCGUGCUUAACACAUGCAAGUCGAACGGUGAAGGGACCGGUUUUUGCUGGUUCUGGAUGAGUGGCGAACGGGUGAGUAACACGUGAGUAACCUGCCCACUUCUUCUGGAUAACCGCAUGAAAGUGUGGCUAAUACGGGAUAUUCUGCGCCUGCUGCAUGGUGGGUGUGGGAAAGAUAUUGUUUCGGUGGGGGAUGGGCUCGCGGCCUAUCAGCUUGUUGGUGGGGUGAUGGCCUACCAAGGCGGUGACGGGUAGCCGGCCUGAGAGGGUGGACGGUCACACUGGGACUGAGACACGGCCCAGACUCCUACGGGAGGCAGCAGUGGGGAAUAUUGCACAAUGGGCGCAAGCCUGAUGCAGCGACGCCGCGUGAGGGAUGGAGGCCUUCGGGUUGUAAACCUCUUUCGCCAGUGAAGCAGGCCUGUCCCUUUUGUGGGUGGGUUGACGGUAGCUGGAUAAGAAGCGCCGGCUAACUACGUG
rnacentral:rRNA from 1 species